rnacentral:rRNA from 1 species
AGAUUGAACGCUGGCGGCAUGCUUUACACAUGCAAGUCGAGCGGCAGCGCGGGGGCAACCCUGGCGGCGAGCGGCGAACGGGUGAGUAAUACAUCGGAACGUGUCCCGUAGUGGGGGAUAGCCCGGCGAAAGCCGGAUUAAUACCGCAUAUGCUCUACGGAGGAAAGUGGGGGACUCGCAAGGGCCUCACGCUAUGGGAGCGGCCGAUGUCCGAUUAGCUUGUUGGCGGGGUAAUGGCCCACCAAGGCGACGAUCGGUAGCUGGUCUGAGAGGAUGAUCAGCCACACUGGGACUGAGACACGGCCCAGACUCCUACGGGAGGCAGCAGUGGGGAAUUUGGACAAUGGGGAAACCCUGAUCCAGCCAUGCCGCGUGCGGGAAGAAGGCCUCGGUUGUAAACCGCUUUCACCAGGACGAAGCGAGAGUGACGGUACCUGGGGAAGAAGCGCCGGCUAACUACGUGCCAGCAGCCGC